rnacentral:tRNA from 1 species
UGUGGUGUAGCUCAAUGAUACAGUGUGUCUUUAGCAUGCACAAGGCCCUGGGUUCCAUCCCCAGCACCACAC